rnacentral:rRNA from 1 species
AUUGAACGCUGGCGGCAGGCCUAACACAUGCAAGUCGAGCGGAUGAAGGGAGCUUGCUCCUGGAUUCAGCGGCGGACGGGUGAGUAAUGCCUAGGAAUCUGCCUGGUAGUGGGGGAUAACGUCCGGAAACGGGCGCUAAUACCGCAUACGUCCUGAGGGAGAAAGUGGGGGAUCUUCGGACCUCACGCUAUCAGAUGAGCCUAGGUCGGAUUAGCUAGUUGGUGGGGUAAAGGCCUACCAAGGCGACGAUCCGUAACUGGUCUGAGAGGAUGAUCAGUCACACUGGAACUGAGCCACGGUCCAGACUCCUAAGGGAGGCAGCAGUGGGGAAGAUUGGACAAUGGGCGAAAGCCUGAUCCAGCCAUGCGGCGUGUGUGAAGAAGGUCUUCGGAUUGUAAAGCACUUUAGGUUGGGAGGAAGGGCAGUAAGUUAAUACCUUGCUGUUUUGACGUUACCAACAGAAUAAGCACCGGCUAACUUCGUG